CUUCUCCGUUUUAACUCGUUUUCUCCUGAAAUUUGACGAGUGCUUAAAUAAUUGCAUUACACACAAAAACAUCGUCAAACAAAAGGGUUUAAUCAAUAAGUCAGAAAUCUCAAUUAUUACAUCAUUCCCUCCUUACAAGAAAUUUCGUCCCCGAAACUUAAAUCAAGACUCCCCCGCAAAUAACUGCGGAUAGCGCUCCCGCAUAGACGACUCAAGCUCCC
rnacentral:lncRNA from 1 species